rnacentral:misc_RNA from 1 species
CCAAAAUCCUGAUUGGUGUGGGACAUAAUUCUAUUUUGAGUUGACCUUAAAGAUAGAAAAUUUAGCCAAAGCAGGAAAAUUU